UGAUUCCGAUAAUUUCAGGCUAGGGUUCCAAAUUUUGAACCCUUAAUCUGGUAAUUCUCUCACCUAAUUCUCAGGUCUGAUUGCAUCCGAAUCUGAAUACUGUCUCCUUUCGAGUUCUUCUGGGCUUGCUUAUUCUGGAUUUUGUUUAAAGUUGUGGUCUUUGGAUGGAAAUUGGAGGUUUCGAAUUUCUAGAAUAUUGUCUCGAUUCGAUUCUUCUGGGCUCGGUUAUUAUUUUAUGCAAAAAAGUGUACGUAUCAUUGCAGUGUCGCUGUUCCUUGGUCUGCUGUUUAGCAUUGUCUCCAUCUUUUAUUCUUAUUCAGAUUUUGGGAACAGUGUGCUGUCGGACAGUUUAAUUGUCUGCAAUUCAG